rnacentral:rRNA from 1 species
GAGUUCAAGAGUACGUGAAACCGUUCAGGGGUAAACCUGAGAAACCCGAAAGGUCGAACGGGGAGAUUCAGACGCGUCUCGGAUAACCGCGGCGAGUCGGUGACGAGUGACGGUCUGCGUUCGCGCUGGCCGCUCAGUUCUCGUUCCGUCGCGGCCGAACGCGUGCACUUCUCCCCCUGUAGGACGUCGCGACCCGUUGGGUGCCGGUCUAAGGCCCGCGGCGGAGCCCGUUCGAGCUAGCGCUCGUUCGGACCCGCGGUGUCCCGGCCGGCGACUUACCGACGGUACGAUUGAGGCGCGGGGCCGCGACCAGUUCGCGUCCGGCCGGUCGCAAGUGCGAACGGACAACUCGAAAUCCGGACCUCGUGCCGGAUCCGGGCCCGCUCGACUGCUGGCGACCGCGACCUCGGACAGACCCCGAACACGCCCGUCGGCGGCGCUAUAGCUUUGGGUACUUUCAGGACCCGUCUUGAAACACGGACCAAGGAGUCUAGCAUGUGCGCGAGUCAUUGGGACUGUACGAAACCUAAAGGCGCAAUGAAAGUGAAGGUCGUCUCGCGCGGACCGAGGGAGGAUGGGUGGUCUCGAGGGACCGCCCCGCACUCCCGGGGCGUCUCGUUCUCAUCGCGAGAAGAGGCGCACCCAGAGCGUACACGCUGGGACCCGAAAGAUGGUGAACUAUGCCUGGUCAGGACGAAGUCAGGGGAAACCCUGAUGGAGGUCCGUAGCGAUUCUGACGUGCAAAUCGAUCGUCGGAACUGGGUAUAGGGGCGAAAGACUAAUCGAACCAUCUAGUAGCUGGUUC